UUGAACAAGAACUAAACAAAAAAAAUGAGAAGUAGCCCUUCCCAAAUUACCCCUAUCAGCUAUUUCCCCCCUUUCCCGUCACUCAUUUGAACCUUCCAGAUUUGUUGAAAUCCCUAACCCUAGCCAAGCGGUGGCGUCGAAUCUCUCAUCCCGUUUCCAAGCUUUGAUUCUGUGUUUGGUUGAAUUCGGAUACCAGUCUCUAGUACCCCGCGAUUAAACGUCGAUAUUUUUCGGACUAUCAGGUGACGAGGGAAUUUGGGUUUGUGAUACGUUGCAGGAAAACCAACAUAGCUACACCUACGAGUAUCAAGAAACGGAGCACUUACAGAGGUACAUACUGCCCCUUCGGGUUGACCAUCUUCGGUUUGCAAUUGAGCUUGAAUUUGUAAUGAAAAUUGCGUGCUUUGUUUUGCUAACUUCAGUAAGUGGGGUGCUUUGAUUAUCUAGCCCGCCAUAAUAUGCUCCUUUGAGUUACAUAUAAUUUUGAAUUUAAUUCCACCAUUCCCUUUCUUCUUUUGUUUUGCCCUUAAUGUUUUUUGAAUGUGUGCAUAUGUAUCAUAUAGAAAGAGUAGUCAGGUACUUAUUUGGUGAUCAGCCUACCAAACAUUUUACACUACCAUUGCGCCAUAGCCACGAUGAGAACUCCAGUUAAUUCCGCGAGAUUACUAAUGAUGCUUGAAGACAUCAUGCUAUUAUACCGGGUAGAGAGCACAAUUCUCAUACAACAUUACAUCAGACCUUGCACAAACCGUUGAACAUGCAAGGCAGUACAACUUGAUAAGUAGGGUUCCUCAGCAAUUGAUACACUUGGAACGACUCAUUAAUGUCACUGAUGUUGACUGCAUAGCAAACUUAAGAAUGGAUCACAACACAUUUGGGAAGUUGUGUCGCAUCCUCACUAAGCAGGGAGGCUUGAGAACAGGGAAAUGCUUAGGCAUUGAAGAACAAGUGGCGAUUUUUUUGGGCGUCUUAGCGUAUCACAAUAAAAAUCACGUUGUUCGUUUCAUUUUUUUAGGUCCAAUUCUACAGUGUCCCACUACAUGAACAAGGUUUUGGGGGCUGUUUUGAGUCUCCACAAAGUGUUAUUGACGAAGCCUACACCCGUGCCGGAUGAUUGCAUUGAUCACAGAUGGAAAUGGUUCAAGGGCUGUCUCGGUGCACUCGACGGUACACACAUCAAAGUACUGGUUAACAACAGUGACAAACCGCGUUAUCGCACGCGAAAGGGGUCUAUUGCAACGAACACAUUGGCUGUUUGCUAUCGCAAUAUGCAGUUUGUUUAUUUCCUACCUGGUUGGGAAGGGUCCGCCGGCGAUUCUCGUGUACUCAAGGUUUCUGUGGCGCGACCCAACGGCCUAAGAGUUCCACAGGGUAUGCAGCCUGGUAGGGUAUGCAGCCUGGUCUAUCGUUGUUCUGAGGGCAUUGGAUGUUAUUUUUGUGCGUGCUUUCAGGUAUUGGGUUUAACUAUGUUUGCAAUCUCAUUAAUCUGUGGACCGUUUCAGUAGAUGAUUCCGCGGGGCAUGGACGGGCAUGUUUAAAUGAUUCCAUUAGAUGACCAAGAGUGUCUUUUAUUUCUCUUGCUUGUUUUGAGGCUUGCAAUAUAUUUUCAAACCAAGUCCAUUAAAUAAAUGCUUUAAGAAUCA